AUUGAACGCUGGCGGCAGGCCUAACACAUGCAAGUCGAGCGGAGCGGCGGACGGGUGAGUAAUGCCUAGUAAUCUGCCUGGUAGUGUGGGAUAACGUCCGGAAACGGGCGCUAAUACCGCAUCCUAUCAGAUGCGCCUAGGUCGGAUUAGCUAGUUGGUGGGGUAAAGGCCUACCAGGGCGACGAUCCGUAACGGGUCUGAGAGGAUGAUCAGUCACACUGGAACUGAGACACGGUCCAGACUCCCACGGGAGGCAGCAGUGGGGAAUAUUGGACAAUGGGCGAAAGCCGGAUCCAGCCAUGCCGCGUGUGUGAAGAAGGUCUUCGGAUUGUAAAGCGAUGUAAGUUGGGAGGCGUUACCAACAGAAUAAGCACCGGCUAACAGCGUGCCAGCAGCCGCGGUAAUAC
rnacentral:rRNA from 1 species